UACGUAGGGUGCAAGCGUUAAUCGGAAUUACUGGGCGUAAAGCGUGUGUAGGCGGUUCGGAAAGAAAGAUGUGAAAUCCCAGGGCUCAACCUUGGAACUGCAUUUUUAACUGCCGAGCUAGAGUAUGUCAGAGGGGGGGUAGAACUCCACGUGUAGCAGUGAAAUGCGUAGAUAUGUGGAGGAAUACCGAUGGCGAAGGCAGCCCCCUGGGAUAAUACUGACGCUCAGACACGAAAGCGUGGGGAGCAAACAGG
rnacentral:rRNA from 1 species